AAAUUGAAGAGUUUGAUCAUGGCUCAGAUUGAACGCUGGCGGCAGGCCUAACACAUGCAAGUCGAACGGUAACAGGAAACAGCUUGCUGUUUCGCUGACGAGUGGCGGACGGGUGAGUAAUGUCUGGGAAACUGCCCGAUGGAGGGGGAUAACUACUGGAAACGGUAGCUAAUACCGCAUAACGUCGCAAGACCAAAGAGGGGGACCUUCGGGCCUCUUGCUAUCGGAUGUGCCCAGAUGGGAUUAGCUAGUAGGUGGGGUAACGGCUCACCUAGGCGACGAUCCCUAGCUGGUCUGAGAGGAUGACCAGCCACACUGGAACUGAGACACGGUCCAGACUCCUACGGGAGGCAGCAGUGGGGAAUAUUGCACAAUGGGCGCAAGCCUGAUGCAGCCAUGCCGCGUGUAUGAAGAAGGCCUUCGGGUUGUAAAGUACUUUCAGCGGGGAGGAAGGGAGUAAAGUUAAUACCUUUACUCAUUGACGUUACCCGCAGAAGAAGCACCGGCUAACUCCGUGCCAGCAGCCGCGGUAAUACGGAGGGUGCAAGCGUUAAUCGGAAUUACUGGGCGUAAAGCGCACGCAGGCGGUUUGUUAAGUCAG
rnacentral:rRNA from 2 species